rnacentral:rRNA from 1 species
UGGGGAAUUUUGGACAAUGGGCGAAAGCCUGAUCCAGCAAUGCCGCGUGUGUGAAGAAGGCCUUCGGGUUGUAAAGCACUUUUGUCCGGAAAGAAAUCCUUGGCUCUAAUACAGUCGGGGGAUGACGGUACCGGAAGAAUAAGCACCGGCUAACUACGUGCCAGCAGCCGCGGUAAUACGUAGGGUGCAAGCGUUAAUCGGAAUUACUGGGCGUAAAGCGUGCGCAGGCGGUUUGCUAAGACCGAUGUGAAAUCCCCGGGCUCAACCUGGGAACUGCAUUGGUGACUGGCAGGCUAGAGUAUGGCAGAGGGGGGUAGAAUUCCACGUGUAGCAGUGAGAUGCGUAGAGAUGUGGAGGAAUACCGAUGGCGAAGGCAGCCCCCUGGGCCAAUACUGACGCUCAUGCACGAAAGCGUGGGGACGCAAACAGGAUUAGAUACCCUGGUAGUCCACGCCCUAAACGAUGUCAACUAGUUGUUGGGGAUUCAUUUCCUUAGUAACGUAGCUAACGCGUGAAGUUGACCGCCUGGGGAGUACGGUCGCAAGAUUAAAACUUAAAGGAAUUGACGGGGUCAUAGCUGUUUCCU